ensembl:lncRNA
UCAGAAAGAUAUUUAAGAUCUUCACACCAGGAUUAUGUGUUGACAUGAUAUGUCUCAUAUAAGCAUUUCACAGAGUAAAGAAUGGAGAACCAGCCAAGAAGUCAGAAACGAAAGCUUUUCUUAUGAGCAUGAAAUAAAGUGAAUGAAUGAGAAAAUACACAAUUCAGCACUGAACGAAGAAAAAUAAUGUAGCAAGUUACUGUUUCCUGUCCUAACAGUAAAAGACCUCAGACCACACAGAUUCAACUCUACAUAACUUGGAUCACAUAAGGCAUAAACAGAUUAAUCUGUAUGGAAAUCCUAAUAUUUGAGCUAUUGCAUAGUUUUGGACCUGACCAGAGCAUGUUUUGUGGCAUCCUACCAAACUGUCGAUUUUUCAUCUUCUUCUGUCAGAUCUGUGCACACAAACACAUAUUUUUGCCACCACCCUUCAUGAAGAAAGAACCCAAUGGGAGGAAACUGUCCACCUCCUCCCUGCUGCCAUCAGACACACAGUCAAGCAGGCAAACCAGAAGAUGGCAGCAGUAAAAUUUGAACAUAAGAUUUUCUACACCGAUGCACAGUCUAUGAUCACUAUUGUUAAAUUAAAAACUGAAUCUAUAAACUCUGGAAAUAAGAUGUAUCCUUUUUCUGAGGGUAAGUUAUGAACAGAAUACAGCUAACACUAUAAUCACUUUAUGUUUGGAACAUUAGCUACAAUUCUUUCCAUCUUCAAUUAAAAAUAAUUACACAUUCAUACACAUGGAAAAAUCUAAUAAUUAUAACAUGAAAAGAUUUUAACAUUGAAAGUAUGUGCUUCACGCAUACAAAAUAGAAAUAGGAAAUGACUAAAAAUAAUUACUCUUGCAUGCUGGGAAUACAGAUGAAAGCAGAAAUUCUUUUAUGUGUGAUUCUUUUUUUGAUGAGUAAUUCUAUUAUUAUUUACCAGUGGGAUUUCCAAAAGUGUGUUUUAAGUUUGGUAGAUUAUUUUAGCCAAAUUAUCCCACUGAAAUUAAUGAGACAGAUUUCAUUCCUAUCACUCCCUACUGAUGAAUCAAAAAUUCUUAUUUACUCCUUUUAUAUUUUAUUUGCAACUGUGUUAAAGUGAGAGAAAUAGAUUCAGUAGCCUAAUGAGUUUAUCAAUUACUUGCCAGUUCAGGGCACAUUACUCUAUUUUGAAAAUAAACCCUUGUAUUCUCACGUCCACAAUAUGGUUGUAUAAAUGGAUAUGAGUGAAGUCAUUUUAAUCACUGUCAUAAUUUCUAAUGACUUACGGAAUCAAGCUCUAUAACCACAAAGUAGUUAUAAAUCAGGUAUGUUUUAAUCAACACUGCACAGAGCUGGAUGCAAGGGGGAUAGCUCCUCCUAACUUGCAUACCAUCAAGACAAAAACUUGGUAUAGAUAUAGGCAGAGCUAAUUCAUAAUCAAUGAUUUUCCUGGAAUUCAUAUCCAUAUUCAUUAUAUUUCCGAGAACUCCUUAGCGUACGGUCCCUCCCCCUCACACAUGCGUCAUGAGCAGUGGGGGUCUCCUCCUGGUGGUCGUUGGAUGAAGGCUUGUAGUCUUCCUCACUGUAAACUUCUGACCCUGAAGGAGGGGUAGCCCCCGAAGUUCUAACUUACUCUGGGGACAUCUUGCUUGCCUGGUGCCUUUGAGGUGUUUUCACACCCUCAUCUUUAUCUCUUCUACCCCGGCAUUGUCCUAAACCCAUCUUGUUACUAUCCCAUUCUUCUAGCUGCCUCUGCAUAUUUGCUUCUGUAAGCUAUUUCUAAUCCUUUUACCCUUAGUUUCUCCAUACCCCUUUUUUACUGAACCCUUUCUUACUCUUCACUAGGACCAUGUAAUGUACUGCUGGAGCUUGCAUUUUCAGAGUUUUUCUCCUUGUUUUUCCUAUAAAGUGUUGAAAUAUUUCAGUUUGUGUUUGUUUGUUUGUUGUUAUUUUGUUUUGUUUUGUUUUGUUUUCCUUUAUUUUACAGCUGGUUUCCCCUAUGGGUAUCAUGCAAAUAAGAAACAAGAAAGGAUUUUGACCAAUAGGGACUGUUAGGCUUCCAUCUCCAUUUAUCUGAAGAUUGACACAUUUCUGUUUGACUUGUAAUCUGCUUUCUUUCCCAAAGUUUCCCUUCUUUUGACACAUUUGCUCCUGAAUAGUUGUCUCCUCACUUCUAUUUUCUAUAUCAGAAUGCACUGCUCUCAACAAAGACACAAAAAAGCAUAAAUAAAAAAUUCUGCUAGUG